rnacentral:lncRNA from 1 species
GGGGCAUGAAACAGGACGAAUUUGGGCACAGUUAAGUUUACGAACUCCCAGACAAAUUGCGUACGGCUUCGAAUUCCUCCAGUCUCGUGUAAACGCAAUCGGAAAGCCAUGUAAGUGACGUGGAGCGAAAAACAAAUCUAGGCAAUGUGAUUGGUCAGCCAAAAAAGUCGCCGUGAAAAAGUUGGAUCAGUUCCUACUUUUUUACUGUUCGCGCGAACAAAUAGACCUUUCCUCUUAUAACCAAAAUUUUGAUCUAGCCAGGUCUAGACAAAAAUGUCAUCACAGCUUGAAAGAGCAUCACAAAAUUAGUAAUAUUCCAAAGUUUCGUUGCGAAAUGUUGUAAAAUGAGUAAAAUAGAGCCUUGCGAAGUUUGCAAUUUUCAGUCAUUUUGCAUUACAAACGGGAAAUUGCAGCCCCAACACCCGAAUCGGAUGUCAAUUUCCCGUUUGUAAUACAAAUCAAAUUGACUGAAAAACGGCAAACUUCGCAAAGGCUAUAUUAUCCGCAUUUUACAAGAUUUUGCAACAAAACUUUGGAAUAUUACUAAUUUUGUGAUGCUCUUUCAAGCUGUGAUGAACUUUUUGUCCAGAUCGAAAUUUUAGUUAUAAGGGGAAAGGUCCAUUCGCCUAGUGGAGAAUGGGCUUUACACGGUGCAAUUUUUGCUGCAACUUGCAACGCAAUUUCGGAAACAGAGCCAUGUUAUCUGAAGAAUAUUCGAAGGCUU